rnacentral:rRNA from 1 species
UUAAUAAGUGCACAGGGUGGAUGCCUUGGCAGUUGGAGCCGAUGAAGGACGUAGUAAUCUGCGAUAAGCCUCGGGGAGUUGAUAAACGAACUCUGAUCCGAGGAUUUCCGAAUGGGGAAACCUGGCUGGAGUCAUGUCCAGUUAUCCUAGCCUGAAUAAAAUAGGGCUAGUGAAGGGAACGCAGGGAAGUGAAACAUCUCAGUACCUGCAGGAAAAUAUAUUCCGUUAGUAGUGGCGAGCGAACGCGGAACAGGCCAAACCGGCUAUGUGUGAUAGGUAUCAGCCGUUGCAUAGUCGGGGUAGCGGGACUUUAUGGUAUGUCUGAUAGCAUACAAAGAGUUACAAAGUUAUGAUAUAGUUGAAGGUCAUUGAAAGGGCCAGCAGAGAGGGUGGUACUCCCGUAAACGAAAUGUCAUAGCCUCUUUUAAAGUAUCCCAAGUAGCACCGAACAAGUGAAAUUCGGUGUGAAUCCGUCGAGACCACUCGAUAAGCCUAAAUACUACCAACUGACCGAUAGUGAACAAGUACCGUGAGGGAAAGGUGAAAAGUACCCCGGGAGGGGAGUGAAAUAGUACCUGAAACCGUGUGCAUACAAUCCGUUGGAGCCUCUUUAACUGGGGUGACAGCGUGCCUUUUGAAGAAUGACCCUACGAGUUAGUGCUCUGUAGCAAGGUUAAGCCGUGUGGCGAAGCCGUAGCGAAAGCGAGUCUGAAUAGGGCGAAUGAGUUGCAGGGUCUAGACCCGAAGCGAAGUGAUCUAGCCAUGGCCAGGUUGAAGCGUAGGUAAGACUGCGUGGAGGACCGAACCCACUUAUGUUAAAAAAUGAGGGGAUGAGCUGUGGUUAGGGGUGAAAGGCCAAUCAAACUUCGUGAUAGCUGGUUCUCUCCGAAAUGCAUUUAGGUGCAGCGUCGAUUGUUUCUUUACGGGGGUAGAGCUACUGGAUUGCCGAUGGGUCCUACCGGAUUACUGACGUAAGCCAAACUCCGAAUACCGUAAAGUUAGAGAUCGGCAGUGAGACUGCGGGGGAUAAGCUUCGUAGUCGAAAGGGAAACAGCCCAGAAUAACAACUAAGGUCCCAAAGAGUAUACUAAGUGGGAAAGGAUGUGAGAUUGCACAGACAACCAGGAGGUUGGCUUAGAAGCAGCCACCCUUGAAAGAGUGCGUAACAGCUCACUGGUCAAGUGAUUUUGCGCCGACAAUGUAGCGGGGCUCAAGUAUACCACCGAAGUUUUAUCAUUCACAUUUAACAGGCCUUCGUGGUCCAGUGUUGUGGAUGGGUAGGAGAGCGUCGUAUGGCGAGUGAAGCAGCGGGAUAACCCAGUUGUGGACGCCAUACGAGUGAGAAUGUAGGGAUGAGUAGCGAAUGGCAGGCGAGAAACCUGCCCGCCGAAUAACUAAGGGUUCCAGGGUCAAGCUAAUCUUCCCUGGGUAAGUCGGGACCUAAGGCGAGGCCGACAGGCGUAGUCGAUGGACAUGCAGUUCAUAUUCUGCAACCGGCGAAAAACCGACCAAACCGAUAGCGUAAUGCUAAGUUUCCUGUGUUUUAGUGGAUCACCUUCGGGUGGACACCGAUUCACGGCAAAUGAACCAAGCGUGUUUAGGUUAGCGUAUUAACAGGAGUGACGGAGAAAGGUAGCUGAGCUAGGCGAUGGUUGUCCUAGUAUAAGCGUGUAGGGCGUGGUAUAGGCAAAUCCGUACCACAUAUAGCCUGAGACGUGAUGUCGAGUCCGUAUGGACGAAUUCAGUGAUCCUAUGCUUCCAAGAAAAGCUUCGACGCGAGGUUUUAGCCGCCCGUACCCCAAACCGACUCAGGUAGUUAGGUAGAGAAUACUAAGGCGAUCGAGAUAAUCAUGGUGAAGGAACUAGGCAAAAUACAUCUGUAACUUCGGAAUAAAGAUGACCUAUGAAGCGUGAAGGAUUUUACAUCUGGAGCGCCUACGGUGGCACAAACCAGGGGGGAGCGACUGUUUAUCAAAAACACAGGUCCAUGCUAACUAGAAAUAGGCUGUAUAUGGACUGACGCCUGCCCGGUGCUGGAAGGUUAAGAGGAAGUGUUAUCUUAUAGAGAAGCACAGAAUUUAAGCCCCAGUAAACGGCGGUGGUAACUAUAACCAUCCUAAGGUAGCGAAAUUCCUUGUCGGGUAAGUUCCGACCUGCACGAAUGGCGUAACGACUCCCCUACUGUCUCCACCAUGAACUCGGCGAAAUUGCAUUACGAGUAAAGAUGCUCGUUACGCGCAGAAGGACGAAAAGACCCCGGGACCUUUACUAUAACUUGGUAUUGGUGUUCGGUGCAAUUUGUGUAGGAUAGCUGGGAGACUUUGAAGCUUGGACGCCAGUUCAAGUGGAGUCAAUGUUGAAAUACCAGUCUGAUUGUAUUGGACAUCUAACUUAGCUCCGUGAUCCGGAGCAGGGACAGUGCCUGGCGGGUAGUUUAACUGGGGCGGUUGCCUCCUAAAGAGUAACGGAGGCGCUCAAAGGUUCCCUCAUGCUGGUUGGCAAUCAGCAUUCGAGUGUAAGGGCACAAGGGAGCUUGACUGUGAGACUGACAAGUCGAGCAGGGACGAAAGUCGGACCUAGUGAUCCGGCACUGGCUUGUGGAAGCGGUGUCGCUCAACGGAUAAAAGGUACCCCGGGGAUAACAGGCUGAUCUUGCCCAAGAGUCCAUAUCGACGGCAUGGUUUGGCACCUCGAUGUCGGCUCGUCGCAUCCUGGGGCUGGAGUUGGUCCCAAGGGUUGGGCUGUUCGCCCAUUAAAGCGGUACGCGAGCUGGGUUCAGAACGUCGUGAGACAGUUCGGUCUCUAUCCUCUGUGCGCGUUUGAUAUUUGAGAAGACCUAUCCCUAGUACGAGAGGACCGGGAUGGACAAACCUCUGGUAUGCCAAUUGUUCCGCCAGGAGCAUGGUUGGUUAGCUACGUUUGGAAGGGAUAACCGCUGAAAGCAUCUAAGCGGGAAGCCUGCUUCAAGAUUAGAUAUCAUUGGACUAUAAGUCCUGAAGGCUCCCAGUAGACUACUGGGUUGAUAGGCCGGAUGUGGAAGUGCAGUAAUGCAUGCAGCUGACCGGUACUAAUUGGCCGAAGACUUCUU